GACGAACGCUGGCGGCGUGCUUAACACAUGCAAGUCGAACGGAAAGGCCCUGCUUGCAGGGUACUCGAGUGGCGAACGGGUGAGUAACACGUGGGUGAUCUGCCCUGCACUUCGGGAUAAGCCUGGGAAACUGGGUCUAAUACCUGAUAGGAGCCAUUUUUAGUGUGAUGGUUGGAAAGUUUUUUCGGUGUAGGAUGAGCUCGCGGCCUAUCAGCUUGUUGGUGGGGUAAUGGCCUACCAAGGCGGCGACGGGUAGCCGGCCUGAGAGGGUGGACGGCCACAUUGGGACUGAGAGACGGCCCAGACUCCUACGGGAGGCAGCAGUGGGGAAUAUUGCACAAUGGGCGCAAGCCUGAUGCAGCGACGCCGCGUGGGGGAUGACGGCCUUCGGGUUGUAAACUCCUUUCGCUAGGGACGAAGCUUUUUGUGACGGUACCUAGAUAAGAAGCACCGGCUAACUACGUG
rnacentral:rRNA from 1 species